GAAAUGCGAUAAGUAGUGUGAAUUGCAGAAUUCAGUGAAUCAUCGAACCUUUGAACGCACAUUGCGCCCCUUGGUAUUCCAUGGGGCAUGCCUGUUCGAGCGUCAUCUACACCCUCAAGCUCUGCUUGGUGUUGGGCGUCUUUGUCCCGCCUCCGCGCGCGGACUCGCCCCAAAUUCAUUGGCAGCGGUCCUUGCCUCCUCUCGCGCAGCACAUUGCGCUUCUCGAGGUGUUGCGGCCCGCGUCCAGAAAGCAAUCGUUACCGUCUUUGACCUCGGAUCAGGUAGGGAUACCCGCUGAACUUAAGC
rnacentral:misc_RNA from 1 species